UGGAAAUUAGAGCCCAAUUCUCUUCUGGGAUUUUCACAAGAUUCUUCCCUGAAAAUUCUUUCCUUAUUGGGUUAUCUUCUAUUUUUUGGAGGGAAGCUUGGAAGUAUGGUGAAAGGGCAUUUAGGUAUUGUAAUCAUGAUGUGGGUCAUGCUAUUGCUGCUGUUUCAAUGGCAGCAGCAGGGCUUGGAUGGGAUGUGAAAGUUCUAGAUGGAUUAGGUUACGAGGAGUUAGAGAAGUUAACGGGCGUUGAAAAUUUUCCCAAGUUUAAAAUCCCAUCUCGGCCCGUGAAAGGGUCAAUGCCAGAGAUUGUGCUUUUUGUUUUUUCCUAGUGGUUUGAAUGAAUUCGAAGUGGAUUAUAAGGAGUUGAGCUGCGCUAUUUCGGAGUUUUCAGGCUUGGAUUGGAAAGGCAAGCCUAAUGUCCUCAGUAAAGAGCACAUUUGUUGGGACAUUAUAUAUAGAACCGCUGAAGCAGCGAAAAAGCCAUUAACAAUGUCUAAUUUAUUAGCGGUUGAUCCAUUCCAGAGUAGUGGAACAUUUAGUGAAAGCUCUUAUAAAGAUUUAACUUUAAG
rnacentral:misc_RNA from 1 species